GUCCUAGUUCUGACCAUAAACGAUGCCAACUGACGAUCCGCGAUGGAGAUCUCAUCCACCCCGCGGGCAGUCCCCGGGAAACCCUUAAGUCUUUGGGCUCCGGGGGAAGUAUGGUUGCAAAGCUGAAACUUAAAGGAAUUGACGGAAGGGCACCACCAGGAGUGGAGCCUGCGGCUUAAUUCGACUCAACACGGGAAAACUCACCCGGCCCGGACACUGUGAGGAUUGACAGAUUGAUAGCUCUUUCAUGAUUCGGUGGUUGGUGGUGCAUGGCCGUUCUUAGUUGGUGGAGCGAUUUGUCUGGUUAAUUCCGAUAACGAACGAGACUUUGACCUACUAAUUAGUAUGCCUAUCCUCUGUGCUCGUGCAGGUCUCGGUUGCAGUUGCCUCCUUGAGGGGUGGUGUGGCCGUGGACCGGCGGGUACGGCGUGGUGCUUACUUCUUAGAGGGACAAGCGGCGCAGCAAAGUCGCACGAAAUUGAGCAAUAACAGGUCUGUGAUGCCCUUAGAUGU
rnacentral:rRNA from 1 species